ensembl:lncRNA
CAAAGCUUCAUUUGAGCCGAGUCACUGUGUGAUCAGUAUGUUUUGUUUUUUUUUGUUUUUUUUGGGGUAGUUUUUGUGCAUAUGGUGUGCAGAGACAUCUUCAGCCUCAUUAUCAAACCCACACUGCAACUGAGCCUCACAAUUCUGCAGUUAUUCCAGAUGAUUUCCACUCUAGAUGGGUUUAGCUGUGGACUUUCUAGAUCAAUACUGAGGAUUCUUACUGGAGUCUUUCUUAUCAGCUGCAUUCUAACCGAGAGAGAAACAGAUCGGCAAAGACAUUGUCACGGUUGCCUUCUGUGACAAGACGAAGAACGAGGAGAUGAGGAUAAACUCAAAACGACAGUCUUUAAUAAACUAUCCAAAGAGUGUUAAUUGGCGAUGGGCAAGCCAACUUUUGGUGCAUUACCUCCACCAACUGAACUGGAGUGUGGAGUGACAAUGAGGAUUCCCGUGUCUAUUAGAUAACCAUUCUUCAAAAAUCACCUGAGUUGGAUGUUUACUAUUGUGGCCUUUUGGACACGGGUCGUUGAAAGACACAGGGCUUAAAUAAUCAGAACAUAACAAGGAUAUGAACAAGACACAGCUGGAAUCAAAUCAACACAUUGAGCACAGGAACGGGAAUAACCAAAUAAGGGCAUAAUAAACAUGGAGCACAUGGGGGGAGGAAAACAACACAAGACAGGAGCAGAAUCUGACAAUUGUCAAGUCAGUUAGAUAAUGCUGUUGUCAAAUACUCAAGAUCACAUGCUAAGUUCAAACCAUGUUCUACUUGAAGCUGUUCAUAUCCUUGGACCGGGAACUGUGCUUUUCUAUGGCAACACUAGCAAAGCCUACGAAUCUGCAGCAUUCAGGUACAGUAGUCACGUGGUACAAGUAAAAGCUCUCAGAAAAUUCCCAGAUUGCAG